rnacentral:rRNA from 1 species
AUUGAACGCUGGCGGCAGGCCUAACACAUGCAAGUCGAACGAGUGGCGGACGGGUGAGUAAUGUCUGGGAAACUGCCUGAUGGAGGGGGAUAACUACUGGAAACGGUAGCUAAUACCGCAUACCAUCGGAUGUGCCCAGAUGGGAUUAGCUAGUAGGUGGGGUAAAGGCUCACCUAGGCGACGAUCCCUAGCUGGUCUGAGAGGAUGACCAGCCACACUGGACAUUAGACAAGGUCCAGCCUCCUACGGGAGGCAGUCGUGGGGUAUGUUGCAUAAUGGGCGCCAGCCUGCAGCAGCCCUGCCGUGUGUAUGAAGAAGGCCUCCGGGUUGUAAAGUACUUUCAGCCGGUAGGCGUUACCCUCAGAAGAAGCACCGGCUAACUCCGUGCCAGCAGCCGCGGUAAUUC